UUUGCGCGUGCGCAGACGGUAGACGCAAUUCUACCUGAGGCCGCGCACUUUUUUCCUGUUGCCCUGACUGCUGUGGUGUCAUCGGCGCUUGGCCGGUCUCAGCAGCCCCUCGCUGCGGCGACUCGAGUUCCUCUGCAGCCGGCCAUGCCCAUUGCUCGGCUCGCUGCUGCGGAGCUCGCGCAGCACUGAGGGAGCCGCCGGGCCAGGGGAAGGCGCGGGUCAUGGCAGAGUUCCCGCCAGUGCCGCUCUCCCUGCGGGAGGAGCCCCCGGCCGCCCGCUCUGGCUCCGAGUCCGAAUCGGAGGCCGAACUGUCGCAGAGCCUGGCCCGCACCAAGAUCCGCUCGUACGGCAGCACGGCCAGCGUAGCGGCCCCCCUGGCGGAGCGCUACGUGGAGCAUCACCUCAGCGCGGGCGACACGCUGCAGGGCAUCGCGCUCAAGUAUGGAGUUACGAUGGAACAAAUAAAAAGGGCAAAUAAACUAUUUACCAAUGACUGUAUAUUCCUGAGGAAAACUCUGAAUAUUCCAGUUAUAUCAGAGAAGCCGUUACUGUUCAAUGGACUUAAUUCGCUGGAAUCGCCUGAGAAUGAAAUUAUUGACAUUUCUCUUUGUGGUGAAGGACCAAUAACAGUUCAGGAAGAGAGUAGUUCUUCUUCUCCCAGUCCUCAAGAACCUGACAAUCAACCUGCUGCACCCGAAGAACUAUCUGCCAAAGAUUUUCUACAUAGACUGGACUUGCAGAUUAAGUUGUCCAAACAGGCAGCCAGGAAACUAAAAGAUGAGGAUAUCAGCAGGGAGUAGAAGAAUGGAUCUGAGGUCUGAGUAAAGAAGACACCAGCAGCAGCAGAGGAUUGGCUCCAAAAUUUGAAAAACUAUCACCUUUCUCCUGUCAGCAUGCCUGGGCUAGUGUGACAUGCAGGCUAAUGGGACAUGGCAUGUGUGCUCCAGUACCAUCAGCCAAAAGAGAAAUGUAGAAAGACCACAAUGAACUGAAGAAGCAUUUGAGGAUAUGUUGCGUGUUCCAACUGUUGGAUGCUUGGUAAAAGUGGGGUUAAAGUAUCAAAUGAAUGCUCGUUGUCAUGUGUGCUGUAAGCAAUGACUGGUGUUCAUUAUUUGUGGGUGAGAAGCAUUUGUACAGAAAUCUGUACAGAUGUCCUUCUGUACCUGCAGUUUGUGUUGGGCUGAGGGUGGCAGGUGCAAGUUGGGAUACACAGCACUAUAAAAAUGUUGUAAUGCUUUCUUUCCAUUCUCCUUUCCUGAAGGAGGAAGUAAGAAAGUAACAUAUCACUUGUCUUCAUUUUAAUGUAUUUAAAAAUCUCUUUAAUAAAACUUUCCAUUUUGUUUUUAAUGAAAAAAUGUGUGGUCACUAAUAUCUUUGGCAAACUUAUGUAUUAAUAUUGUGAUGUGUGCAAGUGUUCAUUUGGGGCACUUGUCUCCCUGAAAGGCGUAAUAAAUGCAGCUUGAAUUACCUUUACCCUUUGGUAGAAGGUGUAUAUCUUAAAUCUGCCCUCGUACAGCCAUAACUUGCACUUCUGAAAAUUGUUUUUAAGAUUAAAGCUAAUAACUUCUGUGGUUUUGAACCAUAUAACUGGCGCAGAGUUUCUCAUUAACCGUAGUACUAGGGAGAGUAUGGAGCUCAGUCUUGAAAGGUCUUCUCAUGCAAAAUUCCCAUUGUCAUCAAGGAGAGCUCUGUUUAUGGGUGGAUAUACAGGUUUAAGCCCUCAAUUAGUCAUCAGCAAGUUUUCAGUCUUCUUUGGGGUAACUAAAACAAGCAUUCUAAACUUCCUGGCCUGUGCUUAACGUAACAAUGAACAGCUCUGCUUGGAUUCAAGUCUGUAAUGACUGUUACUGGUGCUCUUAACUUGGAAAAUAAAGCUUGUCCUUGAGCUUGGUCAUGAACCAUGCACCAUAUUGGGUGCCAGUAUAUUGUAUGUUAUACCGACAGCUACAUUGGAAGUCAGAACACAUUAAUAUAUACACAACAGAAGUGCAGAUACUAAAUAAUGGAUGUGGAGAAAAGUUUUUCUUAUUUGGGUAUCCUAUCUUUGAACAAAAUGAGCAAAUCUGCUAACAGAAAAUAAGUCUUAUUUCCACCCUCCACUUCUAUUUACUCCUCCAAUCUGCUACAGCUGACCACAAGCACAUGUGGAACCUGCAAUUGAAGGCAGCUUCCAAUUCCCAGAGGCCUGUAGUUUUCACAAUCUGGUAGAGGUGCUGAGGGCCCUGUUACAUUGUCAGUGGUGGGAAAUGGAGUAAAGCUAUGUGGGCACGAAAGCUGACUCUGGUCAUCCCUAUAUCUCUGUUUGGAGAGAUUCUUCCAGCAAAAAGCCAGACUUGACAUCUUCAGGUGGGAACACAGUUUUGUUUGUUUGUUUUUACUUGUUUUGUAAUAGGAAAGGACCAGAUCAUUAGGAAAGUUUACAAGCUAGGCAAAUAACAAACAGGAAAAAUCCAGGAAGUCCAUAAAUCUCUAUCCAGUGCACAACCUACAACCACAAAAAAGGAAAAUAUUGCUCCCAGUAUAGUUAGAGUGUAAUAGAGCCUUCAGGACCAUUCAGUGACGUGGUGGUGUCAUCAGUUACAUCUUGUAGUGUAGGAAGCUGUUAUUUCAAUGAUUGCCUAGCCCAGGUCAAAAUUUAAGGAGAGACUGUGUUUAGUUAAUCUGUGAGACGAGAACCAAAGAGAUAUACAGUGGCCUUCAUAAAGAUUCCCCUUGAUAUUCAUUACAGUUGAAUCUUGUCUCUAUCAUAAGACAUCAUUCUCCUGCAGAACAGUAGAAUAUAGACUGAUGCCAUUUAUUUUUUCAAGGCUGCACAAUUCUCUGUGCAAAGUAUACUUGAUGAGGUGCACAUACGACCUAUCAUAUUGGCCAGUGCAAAAUUAUGUACAGAUCUGCAUGCUGUGGUGUGUUAGCCUGAGGCUACAAUAAGAAGAUUUGGCGUCCUGUUUUGAGUGCUAAGAAGAUAAUGUCUGUCUAUCCAUCUUGGAAGGCAUGGGAGCAUGCAGAACUCUGAAGAAAUAUGUUUGGAAGGGCCUGAUCUGGCAGCGUGCAGGCAAAACUACCAUUGACUUUAUAGACAUGGGAGUUUGCUUCUAUUAGGACUGGAGUGUUAGACCGUAAGUGGGUAUCAACCUAUGCAAUGCUGGGACACAUGAGCGAAAUUGUGCUCUUAUUCAUAUUUCAUAAAGCUAGCUCCUUGGCCAUUUCAAUUUCACUUCUUGACUGUUUAAUUGAAAGUGUUUAAAUAUGAACUACAAUUGUUUUUAUACUAAAUAAUAGAGGAAAACCUCUCAAUAUUAUACUGAAGAGGACAGUUACAUAAUACAGUACUGGUAACAACUUUAGCCAUAGGGGAAACAAGGCUUUGAAAUAUUUAUGCUUCUCUUUAGCUAAAAGAUAAUUUAGAAAUUAAAAACCAUGAGAGGAUGGUAACUGCUGACAUUGCUGCACACUAGUUCUCUGUAGAAAGAUCAUUUGAUCUGAAUUGGAGAUAAAUAUUUUUAAAUCCAUGGCACACGAACUUAAUCAUUCAUUGUAUGUUGUGUUUUUCAUUGCCAUUUCCUUUAUUCUUGGUAGAAUUCCAAUCCAGCAUAUUGCUCUCAGACCAUUUCAGUAUAUUCUGAGAACCUGUCAACACAAUAUACCCAGAGGUCCUUGGGCCUCAGGUGCCAGAGCAAUGAAUGUCCCUCUAACUAGUGACUAAAAGUAUCUAUUAUUAAAUAGAGGUACCAUUUUCUGGGAUGUUAGUCGCAAGAUAUUAGAUUUAUCACUAAUUUUUGGUUUGUUUUAUGUGGGCACAUUUGGGAGCAGGAGAUGAUGCAGGCUACCUUCACUCAGGCCUAAAGCACCUGAGAAGGCAACAGACAGAAUCCAGCUCUUGUUCUUGAGUGCAAGACUGGGGUACAUGUGGUACUUUUUUGUGCCAAUAAGUUGUCAGUAGCAUGUAAGGAGUAUGGCUCCCCUUAUGCUUCCUAAGGCAUUGUUUAUGUCUUUCUUGUCCAGGCCAAAUGCCUCAGAAUCCCUCUGCUUGGCUAGCCCCUCCAGCAAGGAGCAGGGCACAGUUUAAACCUCUCUUUGCAGAAAUAAGAAUUAUGGUAGUCCUCAGCCCAUGUAGUUCACUGAGGACCCCGAUCAUUCCCCAGUACUUCUGAUUUAUAGUCCUCUGGUAGUUCAUGAAAGAUCCUGUGGUACUUCUCAGGAUAGCUAGGUAAGAGUGGGCUCACUGACUUGUAAUAGCUGAAUUCCAGCACUGCUUUGUCCUUAGAGAACUUAUGCUUUGCUAGAAGGAAAGUUGACAGACAGUACAUAUAACUGUGCCAUCUUCUGCUUGGCAUGCAGUAAAGAACAUUCUAGGCACUGACUUGAAAAAUCUUGUAGUGUCAACAUACAGUGACCUUAGAAAUUGUAUUAAAUCAUACUGGUCACAGAAUGAGGUUUUUCUGCUGCUGAUAUAGUCUUUCCUGGAUUUGUUAAUGGAUUCCAGCCAGUCUCAAAAGCAAGUUAAGUGUGAAGACUACAUUAUUAAAAUAGUGUGGUGGUUAAAAAGCAAGGAGACUUGCCCUAUGGAAUAUUGUGAUAACUCUGAUGUUGAAUACAAAUACAAAGUGCUUGCUAAGUGAGAUGAUAAUUGUAGUGACAGACCAUUCUUGCACAAUUGUAGACAUUGGAAAAGUGAUAAAUACUCAGUUAACAUCAUACUUCUGGUGUGGUCCUAAACAGGACUUAUUUUCAGUGAACAAAUGGGGAGAGAUAAAUUAAUGUCUCAUUCUAAGACCAGUCUAUCUGCCGGCCAAGUGCAGCUUCCAAGUUCAUCAAAGAGUGGGGUAGGCCUGUUAUCUGGAACUAGAGGAACUGGGCUCUGUGAUAAAUUUCUGGCAUUUUAAAAUAGUUAGCUCAGAAUAUGCAAUAGUGAGUUCAGAAUACAAGUGUUCCUCUCCAGUCAGUAUUACUCCACUUUCUCUGAUCCCAUCUGCAGUGGUGGCCCUAGGAAAUGUAGACAACUAAAUGUUUUCUAUUAGAUCAGUGUUUCCCAAACUUGGGACACCACUUGUGU